UACGGAGGGUGCGAGCGUUGUCCGGAAUCAUUGGGCGUAAAGGGCGCGUAGGUGGCCCGGUCAGUUCGUGGUGAAAGCGCGGGGCUCAACCCUGCGUCGGCCAUGAAUACUGCCGCGGCUGGAGCACUGUAGAGGCAGGCGGAAUUCCGGGUGUAGCGGUGGAAUGCGUAGAGAUCCGGAAGAACACCGGUGGCGAAGGCGGCCUGCUGGGCAGGUGCUGGACACUGAGGCGCGACAGCGUGGGGAGCAACAGG
rnacentral:rRNA from 1 species